UUGCCUCCAACCUCUCUCCUUGCUAAUUUUGACAUUUUUCUCCAUCACCCCGGCUGCUUUCGCAUUGCCAAUUGGCUUCGCACGGGUUUCAGUUAGCUGCCCAGCCGUCAGCUGCUGCAGAGAGCGCAGAGAAGAAAGAACCCAUAUUUCAAGGACUAUCUGAUCCGAUUAUCUCCUAUCUACCCCAGGGUUCAGCACGGUGCUUGACACACGGGCUUUGCCCCCCAGGACUCUCUCCUAAACCCCCAUUUCCAUCCCUGCUUUUAUUUCUUUCAGCUGAUUUUAUGGCCAGUUCUUUCUCUGCUGUGGUUCCUGGGAGCAUCACAGCCUUGGAAGUUGGGCCAGGAAUCUCUUCGGAGUAUUUCGUCUUGGAUGAUCGGAAUCCAAAGGUGGAUGGGCGCGAUGGAGGGACGGCUGCCUUUCACUCAGUGACCUCGGUGGCCAACCAUCCUCGCCAGCUGGCCGCUGGAUCAACUUCCUCCCCUGCAGCUGAUGUGUCUGUGUUGUACAGGUCGUGCCAUUCAGCACACUGUUCUAAAUUCAGGAUUGGUUUCUGCAGGUCGAGGCCGACGAAGAGAUGGUAAGAAGUCCUAGAAAAGGAGGUUCUUCGAGGCACGGUGGACAACACCUGAUAACUUUGUUAAUGGUAUUUGUUAAAUGUUUACUUUGUCCCAGGCACUGGGGUAAACACUGGGGUAGAUACAAGCUAAUCCGAUUGAAGUAGCGUGGCUCAGUGGAAAGAGCACG
rnacentral:lncRNA from 1 species